rnacentral:rRNA from 1 species
CGGACGUGAGGAACCUGCCUUGGAGUGGGGAAUAACAGCUGGAAACAGCUGCUAAUACCGCAUAAUAUAUUUGGGCCGCAUGGCUCUGGAUAUCAAAGAUUUAUCGCUCUGAGAUGGACUCGCGUCUGAUUAGCUAGUUGGCGGGGUAACGGCCCACCAAGGCGACGAUCAGUAGCCGGACUGAGAGGUUGGCCGGCCACAUUGGGACUGAGACACGGCCCAGACUCCUACGGAAGGCAGCAG